AUUGAACGCUGGCGGCAGGCUUAACACAUGCAAGUCGAACGAGUGGCGGACGGUUGAUUAAUGCUUGGGAAUCUAGCUUAUGGAGGGGGAUAACUACGGGAAACUGUAGCUAAUACCGCCUACCCUAGUAUGAGCCCAACUGGGAUUAGGUAGUUGGUGAGGUAAAGGCUCACCAAGGCGACGAUCUCUAGCUGGUCUGAGAGGAUGACCAGCCACACUGUGACUGAGACACGGCCCAGACUCCUACGUGAGGCAGAAGUGGGGAAUAUUGCGCAAUGGGGGCAACCUGACGCAGCCAUUCCGCGUGUAUGAAGAAGGCCUUCGGGUUGUAAAGUUCUUUCGGUAGCGAGGCGUUAACUACAGAAGAAGCACCGGCUAACUCCGUGCCAGCCGCCGCGGUAAUUC
rnacentral:rRNA from 1 species